rnacentral:rRNA from 1 species
UAACGCUGGCGGCGUGCUACACAUGCAAGUCGAACGAGCUCCCCUCCUUCGGGAAGGGAGCGAGUGGCGGACGGGUGAGUAAGACGUGGGUCACCUACCUUUCAGUGAGGGAUACCGGCGAGAAAUCGCCGACAAUCCCGCAUACGCUUCGUCUUCUGGAACGAGGGUGAAGCAAAGCUCUGCAAAGGGCGCUGGGAGAUGGGCCCGCGGCCGAUUAGCUGGUUGGUGGGGUAAAAGCUCACCAAGGCGACGAUCGGUAGCUGGUCUGAGAGGACGAUCAGCCACACUGGGAUUGAGAACGGCCCAGACUCCUACGGGGGGCAGCAGUGAGGAAUUUUCGGCAAUGGACGCGAGUCUGACCGAGCAACGCCGCGUGCAGGAAGAAGGUCUUCGGAUCGUAAACUGCUUUUCUUUGGGACGAGAGCGGACGGUACCAGAGGAACAAGCCCCGGCUAACUACGUGCCAGCAGCCGCGGUAAUACGU